rfam:Natronobacterium gregoryi SP2, complete genome.
GUGGGAAGCGCACGGCCGCAAAUCUGACUCGUCACCCUUGCGGUGACUUGGGAUUGCGGAAGUGC